rnacentral:rRNA from 1 species
GGGUGCGAUCAUACCAGCACUAAUGCACCGGAUCCCAUCAGAACUCCGAAGUUAAGCGUGCUUGGGCGAGAGUAGUACUAGGAUGGGUGACCUCCUGGGAAGUCCUCGUGUUGCACCCA